rnacentral:piRNA from 1 species
UGGUUACGUACAGGAAUGUUGAUGAUUGGU